CAGGUCCAAAUUUGGAGACUUAUUUUCUGGCAGCGAGUCAGAAACUGGAGAAACAUCCGCUUGAUCACAUGCCAGGGUGCUAUCAACUGGAUCCUGUUUUAACUCGGAAGCUGGAGGAGCUGCAUCUGCUUGAUCACAUAUGGUAGAGGUAUCAGCUGGAGGAGCUGCGUCCGCUUGAUCACAUAUGGUAGAGGUAUCAGCUGGAGGAGCUGCGUCAGCUUGAUCACAUAUCGUAGAGGUAUCAGCUGGAGCGUUUGCCGAGUCACAAACUGGAGGAACAUCAACUUCAUCACGUAUGGCUAAUUCUACUGAAGUGACACUAUUGGCCGGAUCCUGCACCGUGUCACUGACUGGUGGAACAUCAGCUUCGUUGCAUAUGGCCAUUUCUAAAUCUCCGGCACAAUCUGCCGGUGGGCACCUUUCAUUUUCCGUGGAUACAUUAGCUUCAUC
rnacentral:lncRNA from 1 species